rnacentral:ncRNA from 1 species
UUCAGUAAAAGCCGAACCUGCCGCAAGGCCGGGGCGGAAAGUUACGGGUCUUUCAAGACCGCCGGACUGCCUGA